rnacentral:tRNA from 2 species
UGCCCGAUAGUAUAACGGUAGUACGACAGACUCUGACUCUGUUUGUCUUGGUUCGAAUCCAGGUCGGGCAACAA